AGUUCAUUUGACCAUGGCUCAGGAUUGAACGCUAUGGAUAAGCCAUACAUGCAAGUCGAACGUGGCACGGACUUCGGUCUGUGGCGGAGGGCGAACGGGUGAGUAGUCAAAUGGAACGUGCCUAGUAGCGGGGAUAACUACGCUGAAAGCGUAGCCAUACCGUAUACGCCCUUCGGGGGAAAGCGGGGACCCGGCCCCUGCACUAUUAGGAGCGGCUGAUAUCGGAUUAGCUAGUUGGUGUGGGCAACGGCUCACCGAGGCGACGAUCCGUAGCUGGUUUGAGAGGACGACCAGCCACACUGGGACUGAGACACGGCCCACUCCUACGGGAGGCGCAGUGGGGAAUUUUGGACAAUGGGAAACCCCUGAUCCAGCCAUCCGCGCGGGGCGAAGGCCUUCGGGUUGUAAAGCACUUUUGGCAGAAAGAACGUACUGGGAUAAUACCUGCGCAACUUCCACGGUACCUGCAGGAAUAAGCACCGGUUAACCAUGUGCCAGCAGCUAUGGUAAUACGUAGGGUGCAAGCGUUAAUCGGAAUUACUGGGCGUAGCGCGCAGGCGGUUCGGAAAGAAAGAUGUGAAAUCCCAGAGCUUAACUUUGGGAACUGCAUUUUUAACUAAUGAGCUAGAGUGUGUCAGAGGGAGUGUGGACCCCCGCGUAGCAGUGAAUGCGGUGAUAUGCGGAGGAACACCGAUGCAGAAGGCAGCCUCCUGGGGAUACCACUGACGUUUGCGCACGAAAGUGGUUAAACAGGAUUAGAUACCCUGGUAGUCCACGCGCCUCUAAACGAUGUCAACUAGCUGUUGGGGCCUUCGGGCCUUGGUAGCGCAGCUAACGCAGAAGCUGACCGCCUGGGGAGUACGGUCGCAAGAUUAAAACUUGAAAGAAUGACGGGGACCCGCGUACAAGCGUGGAUGAUGCAUUGAAUUCGAUGCAACGCGAAAAACCUUACCUACCCUUGACAUGUCUGGAAUCCCGAAGAGAUCGGGAUGCUCGCAAAGAGAACCGGAACACAGGUGCUGCAAGUGUGGCUGUCGUCAGCUCGUGUCGUGAGAUGUUGGGUUAAGUCCCGCACUGAGCGCGGAACCCCUUGUCAUUAGUUGCUACGAAAGGGCACUCUAUCGAGACUACCGGUGACAAACCGGAGGAAGGUGGGGAUGACGUCAAGUCCUCAUGGCCCUUAUGGGUAGGGCUUCACACGUCAUACAAUGGUCGGGACAGAGGGUCGCCAACCCGCGAGGGGAGCCAAUCCCAGAAAACCCGAUCGUAGUCCGGAUCGCAGUCUGCAACUCUGACUGCAAGUCGGAAUCGCUAGUAAUCGCGGAUCAGCAUGUCGCGGUGAAUACGUUCCCGGGUCUUGUACACACCGCCCGUCACACCACAUGGGGAGUGGGCUCUACCAGAAGUAUUAAUGAAUCCGUAAGGAGGCGAUUACCACGGUAGAUUCAUGACUGGGGUGAAGUCGUAACAAGGUAG
rnacentral:rRNA from 1 species